rnacentral:rRNA from 1 species
GACGAACGCUGGCGGCGUGCCUAAUACAUGCAAGUCGAGCGCAGGAAACUGACGGAACUCUUCGGAGGGAAGGCAGUGGAAUGAGCGGCGGACGGGUGAGUAACACGUAAGGAACCUGCCUCAAGGAUUGGGAUAACUCCGAGAAAUCGGAGCUAAUACCGGAUAGUUCAACGGACCGCAUGGUCCGCUGACGAAAGGCGCUCCGGCGUCACCUUGAGAUGGCCUUGCGGUGCAUUAGCUAGUUGGUGGGGUAACGGCCCACCAAGGCGACGAUGCAUAGCCGACCUGAGAGGGUGAUCGGCCACACUGGGACUGAGACACGGCCCAGACUCCUACGGGAGGCAGCAGUAGGGAAUCUUCCACAAUGGACGAAAGUCUGAUGGAGCAACGCCGCGUGAGUGAUGAAGGUUUUCGGAUCGUAAAACUCUGUUGUAAGGGAAGAACACGUACGAGAGGAAAUGCUCGUACCUUGACGGUACCUUACGAGAAAGCCACGGCUAACUACGUGCCAGCCGCCGCAGUAAUAC